rnacentral:rRNA from 1 species
GCGAACGCUGGCGGCAGGCCUAACACAUGCAAGUCGCACGAACCUUUCGGGGUUAGUGGCGGACGGGUGAGUAACACGUGGGAACGUGCCUUUAGGUUCGGAAUAACUCAGGGAAACUUGUGCUAAUACCGAAUGUGCCCUUCGGGGGAAAGAUUUAUCGCCUUUAGAGCGGCCCGCGUCUGAUUAGCUAGUUGGUUGAGGUAAUGGCUCACCAAGGCGACGAUCAGUAGCUGGUCUGAGAGGAUGAUCAGCCACAUUGGGACUGAGACACGGCCCAAACUCCUACGGGAAGCAGCAGUGGGGAAUCUUGCGCAAUGGGCGAAAGCCUGACGCAGCCAUGCCGCGUGAAUGAUGAAGGUCUUAGGAUUGUAAAAUUCUUUCACCGGGGACGAUAAUGACGGUACCCGGAGAAGAAGCCCCGGCUAACUUCGUG